ensembl:lncRNA
UGACAACCAGUGCCCUAGUUUCUCUCAGUCUGAGUCUGGCGGUUACAAGCUAAGACAUGUUUUCCCGUCUUCGCAAGCGUUUUGGGAGGGGGAACGUCGAUUGUGGAGAGACUAGAGUGAAGGAGUCUGGCCUCUCGUCUCAAAGUAAUGAUGGACAAAGACAGCACUUUUGGGGAAUGUCGAAGAUCAGCUCCUCGCCAUUCUGACAAGCAAACAAAAGGGAAGGCAAAGGACCUGAAGAAGAUGGAGGAGAAUAAUGAAAGCCUCCUUUAAAAGAUUGUCCCCAGCUGGUGUGAUCUCUCUGUCCAUGGCCCUUGCCAAAAGCUGCAGAGCC